rnacentral:tRNA from 1 species
GGGCGCUUAGCUCAGACGGCGAGAGCGCCGCCCUUACAAGGCGGAGGCCGCCGGUUCGAUUCCGGCAGCGCCCA